rnacentral:rRNA from 1 species
UACAGAGGUCCCAAGCGUUGUUCGGAUUCACUGGGCGUAAAGGGUGCGUAGGUGGCAGGGUAAGUUUGAUGUGAAAUCUCCGGGCUUAACCCGGAAACUGCAUUGAAUACUAUCCUGCUCGAGGUUUGGAGGGGGGACUGGAAUUCUCGGUGUAGCAGUGAAAUGCGUAGAUAUCGAGAGGAACACCAGUGGCGAAGGCGACUUACUGGACACAUAUUGACGCUGAGGUGCGAAAGCGUGGGGAGCAAACAGG